rnacentral:rRNA from 1 species
CCAGACUCCUACGGGAGGCAGCAGUGGGGAAUAUUGCACAAUGGGGGAAACCCUGAUGCAGCAACGCCGCGUGAGUGAAGAAGCGUUUCGGCGCGUAAAGCUCUAUCAGCGGGGAAGAAAGAAGACGGUACCCGACCAAGAAGCCCCGGCUAACUACGUGCCAGCAGCCGCGGUAAUACGUAGGGGGCGAGCGUUAUCCGGAAUUACUGGGUGUAAAGGGGGCGCAGACGGCGAUGCAAGCCAGGAGUGAAAGCCCGGGGCCCAACCCCGGGACUGCUCUUGGAACUGCGUGGCUGGAGUGCAGGAGGGGCAGGCGGAAUUCCUGGUGUAGCGGUGAAAUGCGUAGAUAUCAGGAGGAACAUCGGUGGCGUAAGCGCUUUACUGGGCCGUAAUUGACGCUGAGGAACGAAAGCCAGGGUAGCAAAUGGGAUUAGAUCCCCGAGUA